CGAGAUUCUCACUGUCCCUACUUACACCCCCGGCGAAACCACAGCCAAGGGAACGGGCUUGGCGGAAUCGGCGGGGAAAGAAGACCCUGUUGAGCUUGACUCUAGUCGAACGUCGAGGAACAGCACGGACGAACGUAGCAUAGGUGGGAGGCUCCGGCCGAACCUGAAAUACCACCGUCUCCGUCGUUGUUCUUCUCAUUUGGUGGUGUAGGGAUGGGGCGAAGCCCCUUUUUCUGGAGACGGCCGCGACGCGCGCCCGUCCGGGCUCCGUCGCUCGCGCGAGCGAGCGGCGGGGUCCGGCAGGCCUCCGCCCGCGGCGCCUAAUCCGAAGACGUCGUUCGGUGGGGAGUUUGGCUGGGGCGGCACAUCCGUUAAAAGGCAACGCGGGUGUCCAAAGGGGAGCUCGGCGAGAAGGGAAAUCUCGCGUCGAACGAAAGG
rnacentral:rRNA from 1 species